UCCGCCUGGGUCGCCACUCAGCCCUGAGUUAAAUACUGAACUGCCCAAAUAAUCCCAGAUGGUUAACGAUUACUAGCGGAAUAUCAUUAUAAUUGGAAGAAAUAGUCACUAGUCCAGUCAGUUAUCUUCCAGUCGCAUAUGCAAGAAAACAUGCAUGGUGAGUGCAGUCGUCGUUCUGGGCCACGUUCAAUGAAAAAACAAGCGGCAUCAUCACCCGGUUAUUUCAAUAUUUGAUUGGAGAGUUUGGUAGGAGAGAAUAAAACCAGAAAUUCUGACUCUGGCCACAUACAGAACAGAUCAUGUGGCUGUCGAUCAUUUAGAAAGAAAUGUUAUUUGAUCUUGUAAUCCAAAGAGAGAUGGACGGCAUACAAAUUCACCAGGAACAUCUACGAUAUAUGGAUACCAACCCACCUAAAAAGAUAAAAGAUUAUUGCAGCAGAGAUGAUUUUUCCAUAUUAGGUAUUGGUGCUUUGAUUCUCAUGUCGGUGUGUUGGGAUCUUAGCUGCGGGCCCUGUCACUCCAAAAUCCUCAAAAGGUGAAUGCCAGUCAAUCGUGAGAUUAGCCGCUUGGUCUCAAGAGGGCCUAGUCAAAUGCAGGUAGGCUAAUUCCAGACAUUGUUGAGUUCAGAUAUGAGAAUGAUGCAUGAAACACCCAGUACAGGACACGCUGAUUCUUUGAUAGCUUAAUAGACUCACUCAUGCACCCCUCUAAGCGUCCCACAUCCAUAAAAUGAGAGGCGCAGCCAAAACAUAGACCUUUAACUCGGUAGGAUGUUCCGAAGUUGACAUCAUAGUAGAUUGAGACAUAAGUCAAUUCAUCAUUGACCGCAAAAGAUUGAGCUUCCUCUCAUGCUUCUCCUAAUAUAUCCAGGCUACUAUCUCUAUGGAAAAUUUUGAUCCCGCAGAGAUAGCCAUUCCCAGAUAAACAUUCCAUAUAAAUGGUAAUCCUUGACACUGCUGUGAAGUCCGCCAUAGAAAGAAAAGCAACAGUUGGCUCACAAGAUCCAGUGAACUUGAUGGUAACUGUUUCAUACCACAUUGCUGGUUGUGAAGUAUUGACAUUCACAUGCUGUUGGAGAGGCCCGCUCUGCAGAACACUGAGAACUGAUAUGCAGUCCAUUCCUAUACCCUGUCCUCAUUGUUUCAGUAAAAUAGAUUGCAAGGGAGAGAAAUAAACACUUACUAUAGAAACAGAGGGGCUAAUCCUAGAUGUACAGAACACCCCCAUUGAGAACACAGCAACACACCAAUUUUUCGCUGUUGGAUCUCCGAAAAUAGCGCUCCUGCCAAAAUUGGUGAAGAACUAAAAGUAUAAGUAGGAAUUGCUAAACAAUUGGAGAAAAUGAAAAUCUCACCUUCAUUGCUACACCAGAGUUUACAUUUGCCUCUGCGCAGGCAAGCGCUGUGAAAACCUCUCCUACUUGGAAGUCGACAUGAAAAGAGACCUUGAUCGCCGACAGAUGUGGGCGGCCGAUAUUGACCAGACUACUUCCGAAUGUAAACUCAAAUCCCAUAAUAGAUUGAGUCCACACAUCUAUGAACGCGCUUAUAGCUUUCGCGUCUCCAAGAUGCUUAUCAACAAAGCUGAAGGGUAAUACACCAUCGAGUGGGUGUUGAUUGACUAGGACAGUUGAUGUCAUACACUCAGACAGCAAUUUGGAAUCCCAAGCAACUGAUUGACUUUGAAGUGGAUCUGAUGUAUAAGCAAUCGCGUGUACUUUAAAUGCCUAACAAUGAUUUAGCGAUGCAAUCAAGGAUGAUAAUAGGAAGAGAAUAUACAUCAACAGAGAUGGC
rnacentral:sRNA from 2 species